GACCUGAUAGCACAACGGUUAGUGCAUCUGCUGGAUUUACUCGCUCAUAACCUCAAUAAGCAGAACAUCCCGGUUCGAAUCCGGGUCAGGCCA